rnacentral:lncRNA from 1 species
CUUUAAUAAGCUAUCUUCACUACACUGCACUCUGCAACUUGCUGUAAAUUCUUUCUUGCAUGAGAUCCAAGAACCCACUCUUGGGGUCUGGGUCGAGACUCCUUUCUGGUAACAGAAGAUCUGAGUUGGGCCUGAGAGUUUGCAUGUCUAACAGGUUGUCUGGGGGACACACUUUGAGAACAGAAGCUGUAGCUACUCAUUAAACCACAAGAGAAGACAAGACACAUAUUGACAUGACCUGGAUGGAGGAAAAGCAGGGCCCACAUGUAAUUAGAAAGAGAAAGAGAGAUUUCAACCACCUGAAAACUGAACCUCACAAGAAAUAACUUGUCGAUUUUAAUCAAUUGAAGAACCUCUGAAGCAGGAGCUUAUUUGCUCUCCGGGCAGAAAAGAAGAGGAAAAAAAUAGAGGACAAAACAACUCAGCAACCCCAAGUGGUAUGCUUCACUACUCUGAACAAGGAUUCCCCAAAUUCCUUAGGGCAGGCAGCCUGCCCCAACUCCUGGUCUGGGAGUUCCAGCUCCAUCAACCCCAGUCCUAGGAUGCCAGGAGCAGAGAUGGACCACCUUUGCAGUUCUCCAAGACAGCACUUCUUGACUU